GACAGAGGGUGCAAACGUUGUUCGGAAUUACUGGGCGUAAAGCGCGUGUAGGCGGCCCUGCAAGUCGGAUGUGAAAUCCCACGGCUCAACCGUGGAAGUGCAUUCGAAACUGCAGGGCUAGAGUCCUGGAGAGGAAGGUGGAAUGCUUGGUGUAGAGGUGAAAUUCGUAGAUAUUAGGAAGAACACCGGUGGCGAAGGCGGCCCACUGGUCCGGUACUGACGCUGAGGUGCGAAAGCGUGGGGAGCAAACAGG
rnacentral:rRNA from 1 species